rnacentral:rRNA from 1 species
AUACGGAGGGGGCUAGCGUUGUUCGGAAUUACUGGGCGUAAAGCGCGUGUAGGCGGAUCGUUAAGUCAGGGGUGAAAGCCCGGGGCUCAACCCCGGAACUGCCCUUGAUACUGGCGAUCUAGAGUCCGGAAGAGGUGGGCGGAAUUCCCGGUGUAGAGGUGAAAUUCGUAGAUAUCGGGAGGAACACCAGUGGCGAAGGCGGCUCACUGGCCCGGUACUGACGCUGAGGUGCGAAAGCGUGGGGAGCAAACAGGAUUAGAAACCCUUGUAGUCC